rnacentral:rRNA from 1 species
AAGAGACAGCAGCCGCCGCGGGAAUACGGAGGGUGCAAGCGUUAUCCGGAUUUAUUGGGUUUAAAGGGUCCGUAGGCGGAUCUGUAAGUCAGUGGUGAAAUCUCACAGCUUAACUGUGAAACUGCCAUUGAUACUGCAGGUCUUGAGUAAAUUUGAAGUGGCUGGAAUAAGUAGUGUAGCGGUGAAAUGCAUAGAUAUUACUUAGAACACCAAUUGCGAAGGCAGGUCACUAAGAUUUAACUGACGCUGAUGGACGAAAGCGUGGGGAGCGAACAGGAUUAGAUACCCGAGUAGUCCCUGUCUCUUAUAC